rnacentral:rRNA from 1 species
UAAUACGGAGGGUGCAAGCGUUAAUCGGAAUUACUGGGCGUAAAGCGCACGCAGGCGGUUUGUUAAGUCAGAUGUGAAAUCCCCGGGCUCAACCUGGGAACUGCAUUUGAAACUGGCAAGCUAGAGUCUCGUAGAGGGGGGUAGAAUUCCAGGUGUAGCGGUGAAAUGCGUAGAGAUCUGGAGGAAUACCGGUGGCGAAGGCGGCCCCCUGGAGAAGACUGACGCUCAGGUGCGAAAGCGUGGGGAGCAAACAGGAUUAGAUACCCUGGUAGUCCACGCUGUAAACGAUGUCGAUUUGGAGGUUGUGCCCUUGAGGCGUGGCUUCCGGAGCUAACGCGUUAAAUCGACCGCCUGGGGAGUACGGCCGCAAGGUUA